rnacentral:tRNA from 2 species
AUUGAAAUAUUUUAUGAAAGCUUCUAACUUUCUUUUAAGCAUUAAUUUGUUUAU